CUAAACAAAACCACCAUUUUCAGCCUCCAGACUGUCCAUUAAGAUGCUGGAACAUGCUGGAACAUGCUUCAAUUCCUAUGGUAAGCUCUGGCUCUGAUAUUGGGCAUGUAUUUCUCGGCUGACCUUGGCAAAUUGCUAUUGCAUGGACCUUCCCUGGAGGAGUCCUGAACCAUGAACCGUCAGCUGUCCUGAACCGUGAACUCUCAGAAGCUUAGUCACUAUUGGCCCAGUCUUGUGGUUAUCUUGAGAAAGUCUGCUGAGUACGGGCGAAACAUGUGGAUGAAAGAGAAGCCUUCUCACUUACCGGUUCAGACAGACUUUCUUAGCGGUGUUGUGUUCCAGCAUCCCUCCGUCCUGACUUUCAAUAUUGUCAGCUAAAUACAUGGAACGCCUUUGGACUGUUGCUGCACCAACGGAGUGGUAAUACCUGCUUUGCACACUGCUGAUCUGUCGUUUACUGGACUUUGGUUGCUAUUCGGAUACCAUAACCACUUUUCUUUACGUGUAAGAGUUUUUAGUAAGGGUUGGGGUUUCAUUUUAUGUUAAUAAAGCUGUGUUACACUAUAUCUGUUUCUUUGUAUCCUUUUAAGGUAC